UGAACUAAGCCAUGCGAGUCAUUGCAGUAAUGCAAGGCAGACGGCUCAGUAACGCGUAGUCAACCUAACCUAUGGACGGGAAUAACCUCGGGAAACUGAGUAUAAUGCCCGAUAGAACACUAUACCUGGAAUGGUUUGUGUUCCAAAUGAUUUAUCGCCGUAGGAUGGGACUGCGGCCUAUCAGUUUGUUGGUGAGGUAAUGGCCCACCAAGACUAUUACAGGUACGGGCUCUGAGAGGAGUAGCCCGGAGAUGGGUACUGAGACACGGACCCAGGCCCUAUGGGGCGCAGCAGGCGAGAAAACUUUGCAAUGUGCGAAAGCACGACAAGGUUAAUCCGAGUGGUUUCUGCUAAAGGAACCUUUUGUUAGUCCUAGAAACACUAACGAAUAAGGGGUGGGCAAGUUCUGGUGUCAGCCGCCGCGGUAAAACCAGCACCUCAAGUGGUCAGGAUGAUUAUUGGGCCUAAAGCAUCCGUAGCCGGCUCUGUAAGUUUUCGGUUAAAUCUGUACGCUCAACGUACAGGCUGCCGGGAAUACUGCAGAGCUAGGGAGUGGGAGAGGUAGACGGUACUCGGGAGGAAGUGGUAAAAUGCUUUGAUCUCUCGAUGACCACCUGUGGCGAAGGCGGUCUACCAGAACACGUCCGACGGUGAGGGAUGAAAGCUGGGGGAGCAAACCGGAUUAGAUACCCGGGUAGUCCCAGCUGUAAACUAUGCAAACUCAGUGAUGCAUUGGCUUGUGGC
rnacentral:rRNA from 1 species